rnacentral:tRNA from 3 species
GCGGGUGUGGUGAAAUUGGUAGACACGCCAGACUUAGGAUCUGGUGCUGCGAGGCUUGGGGGUUCGAGUCCCUCCACCCGCA